rnacentral:rRNA from 1 species
CUUUACUGUAACCUGGAAUUGGGUUCGGGCUUUGCUUGCGCAGGAUAGGUGGGAGACUAAGAAGUUGCCCUCGUGGGGGCAAUGGAGUCACCGGUGAGAUACCACUCUGUCAGAGCUAGAAUUCUAACCGUUAGCCGUGACCCGGCAACGGAACAGUAUCAGGUGGGCAGUUUGACUGGGGCGGUCGCCUCCUAAAUGGUAACGGAGGCGCACAAAGGUUCCCUCCGGCUGGUUGGAAAUCAGCCUGAGAGUGCAAAGGCAUAAGGGAGCUUGACUGCAAGACUGACACGUCGAGCAGGGUGGAAACACGGUCUUAGUGAUCCGACGGCACUGAGUGGAAGGGCCGUCGCUCAACGGAUAAAAGUUA